rnacentral:rRNA from 1 species
GACGAACGCUGGCGGCGUGCCUAAUACAUGCAAGUCGAACGCUGAAGGAGGAGCUUGCUUCUCUGGAUGAGUUGCGAACGGGUGAGUAACGCGUAGGUAACCUGCCUGGUAGCGGGGGAUAACUAUUGGAAACGAUAGCUAAUACCGCAUAAGAGUAGAUGUUGCAUGACAUUUGCUUAAAAGGUGCAAUUGCAUCACUACCAGAUGGACCUGCGUUGUAUUAGCUAGUUGGUGAGGUAACGGCUCACCAAGGCAACGAUACAUAGCCGACCUGAGAGGGUGAUCGGCCACACUGGGACUGAGACACGGCCCAGACUCCUACGGGAGGCAGCAGUAGGGAAUCUUCGGCAAUGGACGGAAGUCUGACCGAGCAACGCCGCGGGAGUGAAGAAGGUUUUCGGAUCGUAAAGCUCUGUUGUAAGAGAAGAACGAGUGUGAGAGUGGAAAGUUCACACUGUGACGGUAUCUUACCAGAAAGGGACGGCUAACUACGUG